GGAAACCAAGGUAAGCGACGGUUAGGCCAGACGCGGGGGCGGGGUAAGAAGUUGAGUGACAGGCAAGGCAGCAUCCACAUGACAGGCGGCGCCGACGGGGUAAAUUCUGAGAUCCUGCCCCUGAGCUUUCAUGAGCUGUUGAACCAUCCGGAAUUCACAGGCCUGUCAUGAGAGACACGAUGAGAAGUCCUUAAAGGUAGAUCGCUGAUUCACAGGGGAGCAGGCGGAGGCAAGGCUCUGUCCUUGACGGAGGCACCCCAGACUUUCAGAGCCAAACGCGAUCGUGUUGCCUACAAUUGAGGAAACAGAGGCCUUGAAAG